rnacentral:rRNA from 1 species
UACAGAGGUCUCAAGCGUUGUUCGGAUUCAUUGGGCGUAAAGGGUGCGUAGGCGGCGCGGUAAGUCGGGUGUGAAACCUCGGAGCUUAACUCCGAAACUGCAUUCGAUACUGCCGUGCUUGAGGACUGGAGAGGAGACUGGAAUUUACGGUGUAGCGGUGAAAUGCGUAGAUAUCGUAAGGAAGACCAGUGGCGAAGGCGGGUCUCUGGGACAGUUCCUGACGCUGAGGCACGAAGGUCAGGGGAGCAAACGGG